GGGACCAGNNACACGGGCCCAANUCUNAGGCCGAGGCNUCCAGUAAGGANUANUGGUCAAGGNACGCAACNUCUGAACCAGCCAUUNCCGCGUGGAGGAUGNAGNUCCUGUGGAUAGUACACUUGUNUUAUCUNCGAAGAAAUCCCCGAUUUUUAUUGGGGUUGACGGUACCAGGUGUAUAAGCACCGGAUAACUCCGUGCCAGCAGCCGCGGUAAUACGGAGGGUGCAAGCGUUAUCCGGAUUUACUGGGUUUAAAGGGUGCGUAGGCGGAUUNGUAAGUCCGUGGNGNAAUCCCCGAGCUUAACUUGGGAACUGCCGUGGAUACUAUCAAUCUUGAAUAUCGUGGAGGUAAGCGGAAUAUGUCAUGUAGCGGUGAAAUGNUUAGAUAUGACAUAGAACACCGAUUGCGAAGGCAGCUU
rnacentral:rRNA from 1 species